AAACCUGCCUAGCAGAACGACCCGCGAACUCGUAUCUAARCCGGAGAGGCGACGGAAGGGCCUUCGGUCCCCCGGCGUCCCUCCGAUGCCAAGGGGCGGGAUCCMUCGUCCUCGCGGCGAAGGCCCCCCGCAUUCCUGGCCCUAACAAAAACCCCGGCGCGAACCGCGCCAAGGAAAUCAAACRAAGAUGUCGCGCGCUCGRCUCCCGUCCGCGGGUGGCCGGACGCGUCGUAAUCUUGCAUAUAACAAAACGACUCUCGGCAACGGAUAUCUAGGCUCUCGCAUCGAUGAAGAACGUAGCAAAAUGCGAUACUUGGUGUGAAUUGCAGAAUCCCGUGAACCAUCGAGUUUUUGAACGCAAGUUGCGCCCGAAGCCUUCAGGCCGAGGGCACGUCUGCCUGGGCGUCUCAUAACGCGUCGUUCCCCCCCGCUCCCCUUAAAACGGUUGUCGGCGGGCGGAACGGAUACUGGCUCCCCGUGCGCUACCGUGCGCGGCCGGCCUAAAAAAGAGUCCCGACGGUCGACGUCGCGGCAAGUGGUGGUUGUCAAAACUCUCGCAUGUCUGUCGCGCGCGCUUCGGUCCGAACCGGUCGACUCCAAUGACCCUGAGGCCCCGUUUCACGACGGUGCUUCGAUCGCGACCCCA
rnacentral:rRNA from 1 species